AAGUCGUAACAAGGUUUCCGUAGGUGAACCUGCGGAAGGAUCAUUAUUGAGCCCUGCCCUCACGGGUAGACCUCCAACCCUGUGUAUUUAUACCUUUGUUGCUUCGGCAGGCCGUCUAGGUUUCGGCCUAGCUAUGGGCUUCGGCUCGUAAGUGCCUGCCAGAGGACCUUCAAACUCUGUAAUCAGUGUCGUCUGAGUAAAAAUUUAAUAAGUUAAAACUUUCAACAACGGAUCUCUUGGUUCUGGCAUCGAUGAAGAACGCAGCGAAAUGCGAUAAGUAAUGUGAAUUGCAGAAUUCAGUGAAUCAUCGAAUCUUUGAACGCACAUUGCGCCCUUUGGUAUUCCGAAGGGCAUGCCUGUUCGAGCGUCAUUACAACCCUCAAGCUCUGCUUGGUAUUGGGCCUCGCCAGCAAUGGCGUGCCUUAAGAUCAGUGGCGGUGCCGUCUGGCUCUAAGCGUAGUAAUUUAUCUCGCUAUUGGGUCCGGUGGUUGCUUGCCAAUAACCCCCAACUUCUAAGGUUGACCUCGGAUCAGGUAGGGAUACCCGCUGAACUUAA
rnacentral:rRNA from 1 species